GCCUGCGUAGCUCAAUUGGAUAGAGCGUCAGACUCUUAUCAAAGGCCGAUCUGAAGGCUGUGGGUUCGACCCCCACCGUGGGCU
rnacentral:tRNA from 1 species